AGAGUCUGAUCCUGGCUCAGAUUGAACGCUGGCGGCAUGCCUUACACAUGCAAGUCGAACGGCAGCGGGGACUUCGGUCCGCCGGCGAGUGGCGAACGGGUGAGUAAUAUAUCGGAACGUACCUUUCAGUGGGGGAUAACGUAGCGAAAGUUACGCUAAUACCGCAUAUUCUGUGAGCAGGAAAGCAGGGGAUCGCAAGACCUUGCGCUGAUUGAGCGGCCGAUAUCAGAUUAGCUAGUUGGUGAGGUAAAGGCUCACCAAGGCGACGAUCUGUAGCGGGUCUGAGAGGAUGAUCCGCCACACUGGAACUGAGACACGGUCCAGACUCCUACGGGAGGCAGCAGUGGGGAAUUUUGGACAAUGGGGGCAACCCUGAUCCAGCCAUGCCGCGUGAGUGAAGAAGGCCUUCGGGUUGUAAAGCUCUUUCGGCCGGGAAGAAAUCGCACGGGCUAAUACCCUGUGUGGAUGACGGUACCGGAAUAAGAAGCACCGGCUAACUACGUGCCAGCAGCCGCGGUAAUACGUAGGGUGCGAGCGUUAAUCGGAAUUACUGGGCGUAAAGCGUGCGCAGGCGGUUUAGUAAGACAGGCGUGAAAUCCCCGGGCUCAACCUGGGAACUGCGCUUGUGACUGCUAAGCUAGAGUACGGCAGAGGGGGGUGGAAUUCCACGUGUAGCGGUGAAAUGCGUAGA
rnacentral:rRNA from 1 species